UACGUAGGGUCCGAGCGUUGUCCGGAAUUAUUGGGCGUAAAGGGCUCGUAGGCGGUUUGUCGCGUCGGGAGUGAAAACACGGGGCUUAACCCCGUGCCUGCUUCCGAUACGGGCAGACUAGAGGUAUGCAGGGGAGAACGGAAUUCCUGGUGUAGCGGUGAAAUGCGUAGAUAUCUGGAGGAACACCGAUGGCGAAGGCAGCUCGCUGGGACGGUACUGACGCUGAGGCGCGAAAGCGUGGGGAGCAAACAGG
rnacentral:rRNA from 1 species